GAAGUUGCUUAUUCCGAUAAACAUCUUCAUACACAUCCCAAUUUUGUUGCCCAAUCUGACUCUGUUGCACAUCAGACCGCGCAUUAUUAGAACUCUGCAAAAGUGGUUUGCCAGGUGUAGAUGGAAUCCAUACAUUUCCAUUCUGUGUAACUCCCUUCUCCCAGGGCAUUGAAGAUCCCCUCCCCUGAUCCAUCAUCCACUGGAUGUGUCCAACCAAUUACCCCUUAUUUGUGAGAUAAAUCACCCCAUCAACUGCUUGUAACUGAAUUUCUACACUCUUUUGACCUUCCUGGAAAAAAUUCCAACAAAAGAAAUUCACUGAGACUAAUUCUAAAACUAAAAUUCAUCAGAACCAAGAUGAGAAAAUUUAAUCCUCACAAGUUCAAUUCCAAGAACCAACCAUUCCUCAACAAUCUGCAUGUCAAGUUCCCAGUUUUAGCAAAAAUAAAAAUAAAACAAACGACAAGAAGAAGAACCAAUUAACAAAUGCACAUUACUGUAUACCUGCCUUAAAAAGCUAGAAAUAAACUGAAAAUAGAAACACGAAAAAAUUGAGAGAUUACAGUAGCAAAUUCCGAAUCAGAAUAAAUUGUAGGAUUUUAAUUCCAAAGAUAAUGCAUCCAGCUAAACGAAACCUACAAGACUUCAAUGGAGGCUCUAGCAUGUGAAGAAAUGCAAUCAAACAACAGAUACUUCACACCCAAAUUAAAAGCAUGUCAAUUUAGUUCAAUAGAGAGAGAGAGAGAGAAAAAAAAAUGCACAGCACAAGAAGCUUAAAUUGGAAAAAAUUAACAGCAAUUCAAUCAGGUAUAAUCAAACCAACCGAUCUGUACAUAGUAUUCCUUGUUUGCAAACAACAUAAAAGAUCAGCUCCGCCACGAGUCAAUGCCAGAAAAGCCAAGCCAAGCCCGCAUUCGUUACAAUAGUGGAGGUUGAGAGAGAGAUUAUAGAGAGAGAAAGAGAGAGGAGAGCUAAGUGGUACUUAACUAUAAAACAAUGAAAUGCUACCCCCUUUUAUAUUUACACAAAAGAAAUUUGCAUGGUUAGGCAGGUAG
rnacentral:lncRNA from 1 species